rnacentral:rRNA from 1 species
GGUUACUGCUAUCGGUGUUCGCCUAAGCCAUGCGAGUCAUAUGUUCGUAAGAACAUGGCGUACUGCUCAGUAACACGUGGAUAACCUGCCCUUGGGUCCGGCAUAACCCCGGGAAACUGGGGAUAAUUCCGGAUAACGCACAUAUGCUGGAAUGCUUUAUGCGUAAAAUGGAUUCGUCUGCCCAAGGAUGGGUCUGCGGCCUAUCAGGUAGUAGUGGGUGUAAUGUACCUACUAGCCUACGACGGGUACGGGUUGUGAGAGCAAGAGCCCGGAGAUGGAUUCUGAGACAUGAAUCCAGGCCCUACGGGGCGCAGCAGGCGCGAAAACUUUACAAUGCGGGAAACCGUGAUAAGGGGACACCGAGUGCCAGCAUCCUAUGCUGGCUGUCCGGGUGUGUAAAAUACACCUGUUAGCAAGGGCCGGGCAAGACCGGUGCCAGCCGCCGCGGUAACACCGGCGGCCCGAGUGGUGAUCGUGAUUAUUGGGUCUAAAGGGUCCGUAGCCGGUUUGGUCAGUCCUCCGGGAAAUCUGACAGCUUAACUGUUAGGCUUUCGGAGGAUACUGCCAGACUUGGAACCGGGAGAGGUAAGAGGUACUACAGGGGUAGGAGUGAAAUCUUGUAAUCCCUGUGGGACCACCUGUGGCGAAGGCGUCUUACCAGAACGGGUUCGACGGUGAGGGACGAAAGCUGGGGGCACGAACCGGAUUAGAUACCCGGGUAGUCCCAGCCGUAAACGAUGCUCGCUAGGUGUCAGGCGUGGCGCGACCGUGUCUGGUGCCGCAGGGAAGCCGUGAAGCGAGCCACCUGGGAAGUACGCGCGCAAGGCUGAAACUUAA